UACGUAGGGUGCGAGCGUUGUCCGGAAUUAUUGGGCGUAAAGAGCUCGUAGGCGGUGUGUCGCGUCGGCCGUGAAAACCUGCAGCUUAACUGUGGGCUUGCGGUCGAUACGGGCAUCACUGGAGUUCGGCAGGGGAGACUGGAAUUCCUGGUGUAGCGGUGAAAUGCGCAGAUAUCAGGAGGAACACCGAUGGCGAAGGCAGGUCUCUGGGCCAUAACUGACGCUGAGAAGCGAAAGCAUGGGGAGCGAACAGG
rnacentral:rRNA from 1 species